rnacentral:rRNA from 1 species
CUGCUAUCCGGGUAGGACUAAGCCAUGCAAGUUGAAUGGAAUACCUAAAUUUUCCAUGGCGAACCACUCAGUAACACGUGAUCAACUUACCCUAAGAAGGAGUAUAACCUCGGGAAACUGAGGAUAAUUCACCAUAAUUGAAAAUGCCUGGAAUGGUUUUUCAAUGAAAGAAUAGCCUGAAUGGGGGCUAUUUCGUCUUAGGAUAGGAUCGCGCCCGAUUAUGGCUGUUGGUGAGGUAACGGCUCACCAAACCUAUUAUCGGUAAGGGCCGUGAGAGCGGGAGCCCUGAGUUGGGUACUGAGACAAUGACCCAGGUCUUACGAGACGCAGCAGGCGCGAAAUCUUGACAAUACACGAAAGUGUGAUCAGGUUACCCGGAGUGCUACAAUGUAGCUGUGGCAAGUGAGUUAGAUUCCUUGCUAGGAAGGAGAGGGCAAGGCUGGUGCCAGCCGCCGCGGUAAAACCAGCUCUUCAAGUGGUCGGGACUAUUAUUGGGCUUAAAGUGUCCGUAGCCGGUAUAGUAAGUUCCUGGUUAAAUCGGAUAGCUCAACUAUCUGUUGGCUAGGAAUACUGCUAUACUAGGGGGCGGGAGAGGUCUGAGGUACUCCAGGGGUAGGGGUGAAAUCCUAUAAUCCUUGGGGGACCACCAGUGGCGAAGGCGUCAAACUGGAACGCGCUCGACGGUGAGGGACGAAAGCCAGGGNACGNACCGAUUAGAUACCNGGGUAGUCCUGGCC